GAUGAACGCUAGCUACAGGCUUAACACAUGCAAGUCGAGGGGAAACGAUAUUGGAAGCUUGCUUCCGAUAGGCGUCGACCGGCGCACGGGUGAGUAACGCGUAUCCAACCUGCCCAUCACUUGGGGAUAACCUUGCGAAAGUAAGACUAAUACCCAAUGAUAUCCGUCGAAGACAUCUGAAGUGGAUUAAAGAUUCAUCGGUGAUGGAUGGGGAUGCGUCUGAUUAGCUUGUUGGCGGGGUAACGGCCCACCAAGGCGACGAUCAGUAGGGGUUCUGAGAGGAAGGUCCCCCACAUUGGAACUGAGACACGGUCCAAACUCCUACGGGAGGCAGCAGUGAGGAAUAUUGGUCAAUGGACGAGAGUCUGAACCAGCCAAGUAGCGUGCAGGAUGACGGCCCUAUGGGUUGUAAACUGCUUUUAUAAGGGAAUAAAGUGAGUCUCGUGAGACUUUUUGCAUGUACCUUAUGAAUAAGGACCGGCUAAUUCCGUGCCAGCCGCCGCGGUAA
rnacentral:rRNA from 1 species